rnacentral:rRNA from 1 species
GACGAACGCUGGCGGCGUGCUUAACACAUGCAAGUCGAGCGGUAAGGCUCCUUCGGGAGUACACGAGCGGCGAACGGGUGAGUAACACGUGAGCAAUCUGCCCUUCACUUUGGGAUAACCACCGGAAACGGUGGCUAAUACCGAAUACGACCACUUCAGGCAUCUGAUGGUGGUGGAAAGUUCCGGCGGUGAAGGAUGAGCUCGCGGCCUAUCAGCCUGUUGGUGAGGUAAUGGCUCACCAAGGCUUCGACGGGUAGCCGGCCUGAGAGGGUGACCGGCCACACUGGGACUGAGACACGGCCCAGACUCCUACGGGAGGCAGCAGUGGGGAAUAUUGGACAAUGGGCGAAAGCCUGAUCCAGCAACGCCGCGUGAGGGAUGACGGCCUUCGGGUUGUAAACCUCUUUCAGCGGGGACGAAGCGAAAGUGACGGUACCCGCAGAAGAAGGACCGGCCAACUACGUGCCAGCAGCCGCAGUAACAC